UGCUUGACGAUGUGUUUUAUAAAUACAUUGGCAUUUAUUAGAUUGAAACUAAUUUUAAAGUUGAGUCAUAAUAACUGUGCGGAUCGUUUUGUAAAAAGCGAUGAAUCAAUUGGGUUUCUGCCCUAUCAGUUUUGGAUGGCUGUGUAUUGGACAGCCAUGACAUUAACGGGUAACGGGGAAUUGGGGUUUGAUACCGGAGAGGGCGCCUUAGAAAUGGCGACCACAUCCAAGGAAGGCAGCAGGCGCGUAAAUUACCCAAUCCUAAUUCUAGGGAGGUAGUGACUAGAAAUAACGAUUCGAGAUGCUUUGCAUUUUGAAAUUGGAAUGAGAACAAUUUAAAUCCCUUAUCGAGGAUCAAUUGGAGGGCAAGUCUGGUGCCAGCAGCCGCGGUAAUUCCAGCUCCAAUAGCGUAUAUUAAAGUUGUUGCAGNNAAAAAGCUCGUAGUUGGAUUGGUGUUGGUUAUGUUUAUUUGNGAAAUUCUCAAAGAGACGUUAACCAAUAUAUUUGGGAUUUGGUCUAGAAUGGCAUUCAGUUGUUGAUUUAGUUCCAGCCCAUCGUUUACUGUGAAAAAAUUAGAGUGUUUAAAGCAGGUUUUGUAACCGUUGAAUACAUUAGCAUGGAAUAAUAAUAUAUGACUCGUAUGGUCUAUUUUGUUGGUUUGCACGUAUGAGUAAUGAUUAAUAGGGACACUUGGGGGUAUUCAUAUUUGAGCGUCAGAGGUGAAAUUUUUGGAUCGUUGAAAGAUGAGAUAAGGCGAAAGCAUUUACCAAGGAUGUUUUCAUUAAUCAAGAACGAAAGUUAGGGGAUCGAAGAUGAUUAGAUACCAUUGUAGUCUUAACCAUAAACUAUGCCGACUCGGGAUUGUGUUUAGGGAUUAAACCGAACGCAGCACCGUAUGAGAAAUCAAAGUCUUUGGGUUCCGGGGGGAGUAUAGUCACAAGGCU
rnacentral:rRNA from 1 species